UAGUCCUCGCUGUAAACGAUGCACACUUGAUGUAGUCGGACUCAACCCCGGCUGUGUCGUAGCUAACGCGUUAAGUGUGCCGCCUGGGGAGUACGCUCGCAAGAGUGAAACUCAAAAGAAUUGACGGGGGCCCGCACAAGCAGUGGAGCAUGUGGUUUAAUUCGAAUGCAACGCGAAGAACCUUACCCAGGUUUGACAUGCAGCGGACCGCUUCAGAGAUGGAGUUUCUCGUAAGAGUCGCUGUACAGGUGCUGCAUGGCUGUCGUCAGCUCGUGCCGUGAGGUGUUGGGUUAAGUCCCGCAACGAGCGCAACCCUUAUCACUAGUUGCCAACAUUUUAGAUGGGGACUCUAGUGAGACUGCCUAGGUUAACUAGGAGGAAGGUGAGGAUGACGUCAAGUCAGCAUGGCCCUUAUACCUGGGGCUACACACGUGCUACAAUGGCCGGUACAGAAGGCAGCUAAGCCGCGAGGUGGAGCAAGUCCUACAAAGCC
rnacentral:rRNA from 1 species